rnacentral:lncRNA from 1 species
AAAGCUCUGGCUGCAUCCGAGCGGGGUGCUUACCCGAAGGAAGUGCUGGGAGCUAGAGGGAGGCAGGAGGGGAAGGAGUGCUUGGUGGCAGACCCCACUGUCUGCUCUCGGAAAUGGGAGUCGGAGCAAGCCACCCUGAGCUGAUAACGAAGCCUCUCCUCCUGCCUCCGUCACUGGGCUGGCCCUGCGCUGGGUGCCAGGAUUGCUUCGGGGCGCAGAGCCUCGCCAGCAGGAGCAGCGCCUAAGAUGAUAUUUCAGUGGAGAGUCCUUUCAAA